rnacentral:tRNA from 1 species
AUUUAAGUAGCUCAGUUGGGUAGAGCAGCGAACGAGGGUUCGUCGGUCAUGGGUUCAAUUCCCAUCUUAAAUA